rnacentral:rRNA from 1 species
UGAGCAAUCUGCCCUUCUCAUCGGAAUAAGCGUUGGAAACGACGUCUAAUGCCGAAUACGACCUCCUUUCGCAUGAUCGGAGGUGGAAAGCUCCGGCGGAGAAGGAUGAGCUCGCGGCCUAUCAGCUAGUUGGUGUGGGUAAUGGCCCACCAAGGCGACGACGGGUAGCCGGCCUGAGAGGGUGACCGGCCACACUGGAACUGAGAUACGGUCCAGACUCCUACGGGAGCAG